CUCCCAAACCCCUGUGAACAUACCACUUGUUGCCUCGGCGGAUCAGCCCGCUCCCGGUAAAACGGGACGGCCCGCCAGAGGACCCCUAAACUCUGUUUCUAUAUGUAACUUCUGAGUAAAACCAUAAAUAAAUCA
rnacentral:misc_RNA from 1 species